rnacentral:rRNA from 1 species
AUGUCGACUUGGAGGUUGUGCCCUUGAGGCGUGGCUUCCGGAGCUAACGCGUUAAGUCGACCGCCUGGGGAGUACGGCCGCAAGGUUAAAACUCAAAUGAAUUGACGGGGGCCCGCACAAGCGGUGGAGCAUGUGGUUUAAUUCGAUGCAACGCGAAGAACCUUACCUGGUCUUGACAUCCACAGAACUUUCCAGAGAUGGAUUGGUGCCUUCGGGAACUGUGAGACAGGUGCUGCAUGGCUGUCGUCAGCUCGUGUUGUGAAAUGUUGGGUUAAGUCCCGCAACGAGCGCAACCCUUAUCCUUUGUUGCCAGCGGUCCGGCCGGGAACUCAAAGGAGACUGCCAGUGAUAAACUGGAGGAAGGUGGGGAUGACGUCAAGUCAUCAUGGCCCUUACGACCAGGGCUACACACGUGCUACAAUGGCGCAUACAAAGAGAAGCGACCUCGCGAGAGCAAGCGGACCUCAUAAAGUGCGUCGUAGUCCGGAUUGGAGUCUGCAACUCGACUCCAUGAAGUCGGAAUCGCUAGUAAUCGUGGAUCAGAAUGCCACGGUGAAUACGUUCCCGGGCCUUGUACACACCGCCCGUCACACCAUGGGAGUGGGUUGCAAAAGAAGUAGGUAGCUUAACCUUCGGGAGGGCGCUUACCACUUUGUGAUUCAUGACUGGGGUGAAGUCGUAACAAAGGUAACCA